UCAUCCUAACUCAAACUUAAAAAAUAGCAAAUAGAACUGAUAGAAUAUUACAAGUUCUCCUGUCAACAAAUGAGUGUACAAUGAUAACAAAUGAGUGUACAAUGAUACAAACAAGGGAAAAUGUACCUUUGAACGGCCCUCUGGUUAAGUCUUUCAUACAACUCAUUAGGGAAAAUGACAACAAUCGAGUUCAAAGAGGGGCAGAAUCAAUGGCGAGUCGCGAGUAGUCUCUCCUGGGAUGCCGGACCUUGUUGCCGGGCGGGACCGAAUCAUAUGGGUUUCCUCAUUUAGGGGCCAAGGUUUCAUUGUUCCUUGGGUAAUGGUUCUCUAUGCUGUAGAAGAAGGAUUUGUUUUUCCUGUUUUUUCAUCUUUUGGAGAUUCAUCUCUCGGAGAAGACGAUUUGAUCCAAAUCAGCCAUGUAGACCAGGUUGAUUCGUCUCUAAAUCGGUUUGUAAGAAAAUAUCUUCAAUUUUCUUGAUCUCGAAGUUUUAUCUUGAGAAGUGUGCCUGUUAGCAAAUUAGGUUUUGGUUGCAAGAAGCUUUUCUGCUGUCGGUAGUCCUUGUAGCCACGUAUUGGAUUUUUAGGUAAGCAUCAUUUCAGUAGUUUCUUAGCCACGUGUUGGCAAACUAAA